UACAGAGGUGGCAAGCGUUGUUCGGAAUUACUGGGCGUAAAGGGCGCGUAGGCGGUUCGUUAAGUCCUGUGUGAAAGCCUCCAGCUCAACUGGAGAACUGCCAUUGAUACUGACGGGCUUGAGUACAGACGAGGUUGGCGGAAUUGAUUGUGUAGCGGUGAAAUGCAUAGAUACAAUCAAGAACUCCGAUUGCGUAGGCAGCUAACUAGGCUGUAACUGACGCUGAGGCACGAAAGCGUGGGGAGCGAACAGG
rnacentral:rRNA from 1 species